GUAGGUGGCAAGCGUUGUCCGGAAUUAUUGGGCGUAAAGCGCGCGCAGGUGGUUCUUUAAGUCUGAUGUGAAAGCCCCCGGCUCAGCCGGGGAGGGUCAUUGGAAACUGGGGAACUUGAGUGCAGGAGAGGAAAGUGGAAUUCCACGUGUAGCGGUGAAAUGCGUAGAUAUGUGGAGGAACACCAGUGGCGAAGGCGACUUUCUGGCCUGUAACUGACACUGAGGCGCGAAAGCGUGGGGAGCAAACAGGGAUUAGAUACCCUGGUAGUCCACGCCGUAAACGAUGAGUGCUAAGUGUUGGGGGGGGUUUCCGCCCCCUCAGUGCUGCAGCUAACGCAUUAAGCACUCCGCCUGGGAUACGGUCGCAAGACUG
rnacentral:rRNA from 1 species